UACGUAGGGGGCAAGCGUUGUCCGGAAUUAUUGGGCGUAAAGAGCGCGUAGGCGGUCCGAUAAGUCGGCUGUGAAAGUCAGGGGCUCAACCCUUGGAAGCCGGCCGAUACUGUCGGACUAGAGUCCGGAAGAGGCGAGUGGAAUUCCCGGUGUAGCGGUGAAAUGCGCAGAUAUCGAGAGGAACACCGGUGGCGAAGGCGGCCUUCUGGACAGUGACUGACGCUGAGACGCGAAAGCGUGGGGAGCAAACAGG
rnacentral:rRNA from 1 species